rnacentral:lncRNA from 1 species
UCCACUACUCUCUCCUAUGCUACAUAUAUCAUUUCCAUUCACCUUCCACAAUCAUCUCUUAUCAUUCACCACCACCACCAUCUUCAACUAUCAUCCUUAAUUACUAUCCACUACUCUCUCGUAAAAUUAUUAUAAUUAAAUAAAUUAUAAUUUUAGAAAUAUUUGAGUUAUUUUAAAAUUAUUAAAUUUUAAUAUAGUUUUUUUGUGUAUUUUAUCUUUAAUUAUGUUCAUGUGUAAAUAUUUUUUUUAUGUUUGAUGGAUUGAUGACGAAGUUCAAAUAAAUAAAAAAAUAACAAAUUGAAAUUCAAUUCAUAAUUAAAAUUAAAAAUUCAAAACAAAAACUGAAUUUUGUUUUUGAAAACUUCAAAACAUAAAAUCAAAAAUCACCCCAAAUGAGAUUUUGAAUAUCAUUUUGGUUACUCUCUUCAUCUCAUAAUAAUUGUCGCAUUUGGCAGAAAAAUUUGUUCUGAAAUAAUUGUCACUUUUAAUUUCUAAUGCAACUUUAAUUUUUUUUUAUUAAUUAUACUCUCUAAUUAAUAUUAUGUGUACUCUAUUAAUUUAUGCAUUUAUGAUAAUUGAAACCAACCAAUUAUUUAUAAGGAAUAGUUUGGCAAAAUUAUAGAGUAAUGAAAAGGUCAAUAGUUCAACACUCCUACGCUCUUCAAACACUACAUCUGAUCCUCACAUUCAUUGGCUUUGAGUGCCUCAGAAAAAUUAUUUUCCAUCACCAUAAAGCCUAAAGUCUCUAACAUAUGGAAACACAUGAAGAAGAAAACAAAGUUCGAUGAUGAAAAUGUUGUUCCAAUACCAACCAACUCGCAUGUCACCAAGAACAUAAAUAUUGGAGUUACUCGCUUAGUGGUCAUAACUCAAAAUAUUGCAAUUUUUUUAAUUUUUGGAUUUUUAAUUUACUUCAUUAAACAAUUCAUAUAUAUAUAUGUAAAGAUUAAAUAUAUUUUUAGUUCUUAUAAAUAUAUUUCUAGAAUAUUUUCUUUAAACAAUAAUCUUCAUAUAAUUUUUUUCCAGCAAAAUUGAUCCUCGUUGUUAAAUUUAUUAAGGGUUAAAGCCAUGACAUUUAAAACAUCCAUGUGCAUAUCCGUUUACCGAAUUUAACAUUAUUGAAGACCAAUUUUACUGAUAGAAAAUAAAUAAACAAUUAUUUGAGGAGAAAAAGUUAGAUGGAUUAAAUAAAUAAAAAUUGGUUAGAUGGAUUAAAUAUAUAUAUAUAGAGGACGCAAAUUCGAUGAAAACCGAUAGUUAAUUGAUGUUUCAGACUUUACAAAUUGUUUGUUUUUAUUCCAAUGUUUAGUGACAUGUAUAUCUUUCAAUUCUACGAGUCUAUUUGUUAUAGUUUUUUAAUUAAGUCAAAAAAAAGUUUUAGUUUUUCAAUAAAAUAUUUUUUAUUUUAAAUUAUAAUUACUUUUUAAAGUUAUCCAUUUGUUACAAAGAAUUAGAAGAACAAAAACUAAAAACCGGAUAAAUGAGAAAUCGUUUUGAUUAAUUAAUUUUUCGUAAAAAUAACUUUCCUUAUUGUAAAUAAACAUAAAUUAGAUUUUUCCUCUUUUUUCACAAGAUUCAGUUUUUCUUAAAAAAUCUCUAAAAAUUAAUUUCUAAAUUAUUCAAAAUUAAAAUCAAUUUUUUAAAAUCCAUAUCAAACAGUCCUAUAUAUGAACUCUAGUAUUGAAUUUUUCUUUUAUAAUCAUACAGAGAGUAUUUAAUUUUCCUAUGGAUUGUUUAGCAAUUUUCUAUGCUUUUUUACAAAUGAGUUAUUAGCACAUUUUUGUGUAAGAAUAUGCACUUUCCAUUCAAGUCAAAUAGACUUUUUAAAUAUUUUUGGUCUCCUUGUUUUUAAUUGAAACGGAUUUUCAGUUUCCUUGUAUAUAAAAUCAGGACUUUAGUUCUUUAACUUUACAAGUUUUAUAUAUGAGUACAUUUAUCCAAGUUGGGACUUGUUUGCUUAUGAUAUGUCAUUUUUAUUAAUGAUGUUCAAGUAUAUAUAUUUGAUUGUAAUAUUAUUAACCUGGAUCACAAAGAAUGGGCUGAAAAUCAUGUUACAACAUUUUUGUUCAGUUUCAUUGAUUUACUAUAAAUAUUUUUUUUCUAAUUCACCGUUUUCUGUUUUGAUAUGUCGUUAAUUUUAAUUCCACAUUAUUAAGUAAUAUAACACAUUAAAUUAAACUUCAAAUUAGAUAGUGGAAAAAAUCCCAAAACUCGGGAAAUAUAUAAAUUAUUAAAUUUUUAUAUUCGAAAAUAAAGGAACUAAAUUCUAUUUUCACUUAAAAUAAUGAAUCAAAAAGUGUAUUUUAAGUAAUUUUUUUUUUAUAAUUAGACAAUAUUAUUGAAAAUAAUGGAGGAAUACAUUCAGAUUGUAUGCAAUUCUGUAAUCUGAAUUUUGGAGGUUGUCCCAUUAAGAUAAGACAGUUUAAAUUAAAUUUAAAAAUAGUCUUAAAAUUUAAAAAGAUAGGAAAUGGAUCGAGUGGAUUGAUGAGUAAAAAUUAAUGCCAUUUUAAAAUCACUUUUAUACGCGCGAUUGGUCAAACACAUAUCUAGCAUAAUAUGUAGGCAUAGCUGAAAAAGGAUAAUGUCUAGGUGAUAAGAUCAUAUUUAAGUUGUUUCUUUUAUAAUUAGAGAGUGACUUACACAAACGUGUUGGGACAAAAAUAAUAAUAAUUUUGGUAAGGCUUUAAGAUGUUAUUUUUAAGGGAUGGUCUUGCUAGUAUCAUAUGUUCGAAUUAAUAAAUAGUUUGUAUUUUAAAUGAUUUGAUGAUUCUAUCAUAUCCUAGUUUGGGUUUAAAAAUUUACACCCAUUUUUUGAAGAAGAUUUAGCAUCAAUUUAGGGACAUCACAAAUAUUUAACUACUAAUUUUUAAAUCAAUAAUCUUGGGUAUUCAACACAUGCUAAGGAUUAAAUAUAAUUGAUUUAAUAUUGUUGAAAAAUACUAUUUUAUUUGUUUUGUUUAAGUAUGGGGUUUGAUAUCCUCAUUAGAGAUUUAUUUGAAGCUUUAUUUGGGUCUACUAUAUUAAAGAGAAAUCAAGUGAGCUGAUUUUUCUUUAGAUGCACCGGGAUCAUCUAGUGGUUACAAUUUUAGACUUUUUUUUUUUUUGUUCUUUUAGCAUUAGACUUCUAUUAAGCUAUUAUAAAGUUUGUAAUUUGUAUUAUCACAUGUUUGAAAUACAUUAAAACUAUAAAUGUUUGAAAUACAUUUAUUACAAAGUUUGUAUUAUCACAUUUAUUACUUAUAUUUUUAAGUAAUGAAAAGUUUAGUACUUUGACAAAUAUCUUAUUAUGAAAAUGUCAAAUAUUAGAACAUAAAUAUAUUUUGUAAGAAAAAAUUUCAUUGUAAGAUAAAUCUUGUUGGACUAAAAAAAUAUAUGUUCAAUUCCAAAUAAUAAUAAAAUUUCACAAUGCAAGGGGUUAAAAACGCCUACAAAAUAAUAAACUAUGUACACAGUGGAGGUUUUAAACCUCCCAAGAAAAAAAUCGCCACAAUAUAAACGUAAUACUAGAGUUCUCAAAAUUUCAACAAAUAUAUUACGACAGACGUACCUAUGAUGGUUUUGAAUAUUCCACAAUACAAUCUGUGGAGGUUAAAAAUCCUUGCAAAUUGAUUUAAAAACACUCAUAUAUUAGUGUUUUUUAUGUAGUAGUAGUGUGUAUAUAUAUAUAUAUAUAUAUAUAUAUAUGUGUGUGUGUGUGUGUGUGUUGACAUGUAAAAAUGAUAAAAAUAAAAAUAAAAUAAAAAAUUGUAUAAAAAGAAAGAAGAUAUUAAGUCAAAUUUUUCGCAAAAUACCCAAAUUCUCAAGUAUGGUCGUACCUUAUACAAUGGUGUCCUUAUUCUAAUUCAAUAUGUGAUGAUUUACUAAAAAUAGUUGAAUAUAUACUAAAAAGAAUGGACUUUUUUUAUCCUUGUUUAAUUAGAACCUUAGGAAACAAAAUUGCUUCUUUCUUAAUUUUUCUACUCUUGUUAUUCUUAGAUCUCUCAAGUUUGUGUAGAAUGACAAAAAAAUAAGAUUAUUUUCUGUAAAAUUAUCUUUUACGAACAAUUAUUUGUCUCUACUUUGAUCUAAAGAAAAUAUAUCUUUUUGAGAUAAUUGUUCAAUGGAAAUUUAUCUUACAAAAAUAUGUUAAUCGCGUCAAACAUAAUAAAAAUCAAUAUCAUUAUCUUAGUCAUAAGAUCCAAUAUAAAAUUAAUUUAUAUGUACAAAAAAAUAUAACAAAAUAAUUAAUAUCGCAUCAAAUAUAAUAUAAUUUAUUAUUAUUAUAUGAUAUUAAAAUAUUUAAAAAGUGUACAUAAAAAAAUAAUAAAUAAAUAAAAAACAGAAUUUGAACUCGAAACAAAAUAUUCAAUCUAACUAUCGAUAUUUAUCAAUUAAAUUAAUUAUUUAACAUAACAAAUUUAAACUUCACAGUAUCUAAUUUCUCAAAGACCACCGAUUACCGGAUGCAAUUAAAUCACACCACUUACCAUUACAAACAAAUUAACUAUAUUGGCGCUCAAGUUUUCUCUUUCCUUAGAGCAAUUCUCAUAUAAAAAAUAUAUAUAUGCAAAAAAGACAAACUAUAGUGUUGCUUCGCACCGUAUUUAAAAUCGUGUUAUUUCAUUACAAAGCCAUGGUCAUAUAGAAUAUAUAUAGACAUGGCAAGUUGAUCUAUGAUUAUGGGAGGGCAAGUUACCGAUUUGUUUGUUUGUAAAUAUUAGACGUCAACAACUAGAUAGACGGUAUGAUUAAAUUUGAAAAAUAAUAAAUAAGUAUCCAAAUUUAUCUGUCUUACAACACAAAUUCUCCUUAUUCAAUAAACUAUUUAUGAUAAAUCAAAAUAAUAGAACUAGCAAAAAAUAUUAUUUUAAAGACCACAUAAACAUGUAUUUGGUAGAAAAUUAAAUAGAUGAGAGAAAUUAAAAAAAAAAAAAAAAGCGAAAUAUAAUAUUUGAAUAAUCUAAUCUUAAUCUAACGACAUCAUAUUUAAUAUGUAAAUGUGUGGAUCCACUUAGAUAAGUGAAGCAAAAUAUAAUAUAGAGAGGAGAAAAAUAAAUGUACAGUAAUAUUAUAAAUUAAUGUUACAUUAUUAGAUAAUAAUGACUAUUGAUUUAAUCUUACAAUUAUAACUUUUAUCGAUUAAUAACCAUACCAUUAAUGCUUUAAGUUUUAAUUAUCGGUGUAGAAAGGUAAAGACGCAUAUCUAUUAUUAAAGUCGUAGAGAAAUAGAAAGGGAAAGAAAACGUAUAUAUAUAUAUAUAUAUAUAUGAGUGAUGUUAGUUGCUAGUGAAAUUGACUUAAAGCCCAACAUAAUAGAUUAUAGCUUUUGUCUUAACCGUAACUGCGGUCCUCCUCCCCAUAAGGCAACAAACUUGUAAAUAUGUUUAACAAAUAGAAAUUUAUUUUAUUAUUAAAAUUAAUUCAACUAAUAUUUUUAAUAAUUUGCACAAUUCAAAUGAAACAAUUAUAAUGAAACGGUUAAAAUACAUCAUAGUGAAUAUUUUAUAAUGUAUAAAUUUGUAUCACAAAAACAAGUUUUCGAAACUAAGCCUUAGUCCUUAAAAAUACACUAUUUGUUAUUCAAGAUAUACAUAAACAAAAAAUAAAAUAAAAAGUUUAUAGGAAUUGAAAACAAAAUUUACAGAAAUGGAAAACAUAUUUAACUGAAAAAAAGAGUUAAAAAAUGUAAACAUAUAUAAAUGUAUGAAGAAAUCAAUAUUUUUGUGAAACUAAGGCUCCACGCUUGAUGGUUUUGAGGGUAAACAUAAUUUUAUUUUGAUAAAAAAACCUGCCUUAGUCCCCUCUAAAUUCUAAAAAAAAUAAUUGACAUAGUGGAUAAUAAUUAGUAGACAAAUCAAGUGUUAAUUUGCAUCAUAUAUAGUUUUCCACAAACCAGUGUUUUACAUAAUGUCCGUUAGGUUAUGAAGAAUCCACAUUUAUUUCCAAAGAUAAGUCCAUAAACGUAUAUUGAAUCCACACACAUGAUGAGUUAAAUGGGUUUGAUUUGCAUAUCUAAGUCAUAUAUCCUAUUCAAUCACAAAUUCUCCCAAAACAAAAAUAGCGAAUGAAAUUAUGCUAAAGUGGUAUCUAAGUGGACCAUAGUUGAUAUAUGCCAAACCAUGUUAUUACACCAUCAACCAAUCAAACAAAGAAGUAUAUAUCUAAAAUCACAGUUGAUUAAUGAUUCAAUUAAGGAAAAAAGUUGAUUAAAUAUGAGACAUUAAUUAAGCAAUAAAAGUAGUAAUAAUAAUUUAGAGUGAUAGGAAGAUGAAGAUAAGAUGCCAGCGGAGUAACCCCUGAGUGACUGAGCACACAGCUUCGAAAUUACGAUCUGAAAUUUUGUAAUGUACACUUGUAAGGUUUGACAGCUUGCAAAUUUGGCACUAGCCUUUUUAGUGACCUAUUACAGCCCCAUCUUCACGUGACAUGCUAUCAUAAUCCCCUUUUGUUUGCAUCUCAAUUCUCAUACUCCUCCAUACUUUUUUUUUAUAGGAUCCGGCUUCAAUGUUGUUGCUAAUCAUGCAUGCACACAAUAUCGAAAUUAAAUACUUCCUAACUAAUUGUGCUAUUUUAAAUUAUAUAAUUAAAAUAAGUAGAUUUUGAACCGUCAUAGGAAAGAUGAUGUCCUGAAUGUAUGAAUGUGUAGACUUCCAUAAAUUUAAGAGUCUGCAUGUUGAAUGAGAUAAGACAUUGAGACAUCUCUCACCUGAUACCAAGUCAUCGUUGUCGAUUUUGUAAUGAUGAAUUAGACAUAAUAUAAAAUUCAAUACAAUGUCAGAGUCUAUCUGAUAUAUAUUGGUUGAUCUACUAUCGGGUAACUGGUAUCAUACUAUAUGGGUCACACUUCAUAUAUAUGUCCACGCAUAAGUGUUGAUGGACGUGUGUUAAGAAUCUCGCAUUGGAUAUAGAUUGAGUUUAGACAUAAAUUUAUAAACGUGAGACAUAGUAUUCACCUUAAUUACAAGUUGAUUUUGCAAAAAUGUAUUGACACAAUAUAAAAAUGAGUUAUAUUAUUUAGUACGAAACAAAUAUUUAAAGAAACACAAGAACAAUUAAUUGUCAAUUUAUUAAAGAUGGAUCAAAUAGUCACCUUCAUAUUUAGUGAAAAACAUAAGAGAGAAAAUAAAAAUAAAAAUAAAAAACUAAUUCCAAAAUUUCAAAUUUCUUUAUUACUUUCACUUUCUUACCAUUCAAGAUUAAUAUAAGACAUAAAUGUCCGACAAAAAUACUUAAAUUUAUCAACCAAGAAAGUCUCCAAAUCCACAAUGAAAUUUGAAGACCAAUACUUAGCAAGUAAUUAACCAAGCUAAUUAAGAUUCACCUGAUUCCUAUUUCCUAUAUAUCAUCUCACUCCUUCCCUUACAAUCUCCACUACCAUCACACUAGUCUACUAAAUCCUAGUUUCCUUUAUCAGUCUUUCUCUUUGUAACACCAACAAAGAGAGAUGGAGUCCUCAUCAACACCAAAAUUCUAUGCUUACAUAAUCAUUUGCAUGCUCUUCAUCUCUUCAGCCACACCAAUUCUUGGUUGUGGCUAUUGUGGUGGAGGAAAACCACCUAAAAAACACAAACCAGUUAAAAAACCAAUUGUGAAACCACCAGUGACAACUCCAACUCCACCCAUCACAGUCCCUCCAACUUUACCUAUUCCACCAAUUGUGAAACCACCAAUUUCAAUACCACCAAUAACAAUUCCACCAACUUUGCCUAUUCCUCCAAUUGUGAAACCACCAAUAGCAAUUCCACCAACUUUGCCUAUUCCUCCAAUUGUACCAACUUUGCCACUACCUCCAAUUGUGAAACCACCAAUAACAAUUCCACCAAGUUUACCAAUCCCUCCAAUUCCAGGACUCCCUCCAAUUCCAGGAAUCCCUCCAGUUCUUAACCCACCAAGCAAAGGAGGAAGCACACCUUCUUCUCCAAAAAGUCCUUGUCCAC